UUUCUGUGAUGAUAACUUCUGUCCAGUUCUGCUACUGAACUCAAGUGAUGAUAUUUAUGACACCUGAGCGAGA